GCGUUAAAAAAAAGAAAAAGAAAAAGCUUUAUUGCAAUGCUGUUCGAAAUAAAUUCAAAUUAUACAGGGGAAUUUAUCCGUAAUCACGCGCCACUGAGACGAGGAAAGUAGAAUGCGUUAGCAGUGAGAAGAAUUGAUUCAUAGAUUCAGAAGAAGAGAAGAAUGAGCGAGAAAGAGGCUGUGGCGGAAGUGAAGGAAUGGCUUGCGAAGACGUUCGAAGGCGCUGGGAAACCCGUUCCGGAAUUCGAAUACACACCGCGCAGCGUCUCGCAUUUGCACCAUCUUAUCACGCUUUCCAAAGCCAAAGACGAGGCCGCGCGCCUUGUAGCUCGCGAUUUCCGCCUCAAGGCCUCCGAGUACCGAUCCCAAGCUGCGAGGAUUAGGGAGAUUUUGGAGAAUGUGGGCUUAGCACAGGAGAGCCUGCCCUCCAAUGUGGUUACAUCAGCACAAGUUCUAGCAAACGUGGCCAACUUGUUGAAUAUAAGAGAUACUGAAAUGAGUAGCUUUCUUGUAGCUAUGGGUGAUAUUUCCCUAAGGAAGACUGGAGUGGAGGAAAAAAGGGCUGAAGUUAACAAGGAAUCCAAGCUUCUACUUGAUUACACUAGAAAGGCAAUAGCCAGGCUAACAUAUUUGAAAAGAACACUUGCUCAGUUAGAAGAUGAGGUAGCUCCAUGUGAGGCUCAGAUGGAUAAUUGGGCUACAAAUUUACAAGUAAUGGCUGCAAAAGAAAGACAAUACGUGCAACAAUGUGCCAACUACAAGGCGGUGCUGAAUCAUGCAGGUUAUACCCCCGAGGUUAGCCAUAGGGUUUUGGUUGAAAUGGCUGAGCAUAGAAAGGAGCUAGAGAAGAAAACUAAGCCCAUCCUUGAUACUCUGAGGAGUUACCAAGAUUUGCCUCCGGAUAAAGCUUUGGCUGCCUUAGCAAUUGAGGAUAAGAAAAGGCAGUAUGCUGAUGCUGAGAAGUAUCUCGAAGAUGUUUUGCAAUCAGCUCUUGCCAGUUCUGAGUGACAUAGUACUAUAAUUUUUAAAGCCUUUUUCUUUGUAAAUUUGCUUGCUUUCAAGAUUCUGAUUUUCAACCUCACUUAAAGUUGGAUUUUCAACCUCACUUAAAGUUGAAUAUCAAAUUUGCUAAUCAUGCAGCCAUCAUCCAAUUCACUGGACAUAUUGUUGCGUAUAAUUCUUUCACAUUUUAUCUUAAAAUCAAAAUUUUGGAUCACAAUGGCUUGCAGAGAGUCAUGAACCUUGCUAGUAGUGAUAAUCCUAAGAUUACAAGGGCCUUCAGUCUCUAAGAGGAGUGUUAAACAAAUUUUGGAGAUGAAGAAAUUGUAGCUGGAGAUUAUAUCUACUUUAAAAAUUAUUGUUUUCAUUAUUAUGAUUAUGA